UACAGAGGGUGCGAGCGUUAAUCGGAAUUACUGGGCGUAAAGCGCACGUAGGCGGCUAUUCAAGUCGGGGGUGAAAGCCCGGGGCUCAACCCCGGAACUGCCCUCGAAACUAGAUAGCUAGAAUCUUGGAGAGGCGAGUGGAAUUCCGAGUGUAGAGGUGAAAUUCGUAGAUAUUCGGAAGAACACCAGUGGCGAAGGCGACUCGCUGGACAAGUAUUGACGCUGAGGUGCGAAAGCGUGGGGAGCAAACAGG
rnacentral:rRNA from 1 species